ACGAUAAUAGCAAACUGAUUGAAAGAUUAGGGCGCAAAGCCAAUGGGUCUAAAGCUUAUAAAGCAAGCUACGACAGCCGGUUGCCGAA
rnacentral:ncRNA from 1 species